GAUGAACGCUGGCGGCGUGCCUAAUACAUGCAAGUCGAGCGAACAGAUGAGGAGCUUGCUCCUCUGACGUUAGCGGCGGACGGGUGAGUAACACGUGGAUAACCUACCUAUAAGACUGGGAUAACUUCGGGAAACCGGAGCUAAUACCGGAUAAUAUAUUGAACCGCAUGGUUCAAUAGUGAAAGACGGUUUUGCUGUCACUUAUAGAGGGAUCCGGGCCGCAUUAGCUAGUUGGUAAGUAAACGGCUUACCAAGGCAACGUAGCGUAGCCGACCUGAGAGGGUGACCGCCAAAACGGGAACGGGAACACGGUCAAGACCCCUACGGGAGGCGGCAGAAGGGAACCUUGCGCAAGGGGGGAAAGCCUAACGGAGAAAGGCGGCGUGAGUGAUGAAGGUCUUCGGAUCGUAAAACUCUGUUAUUAGGGAGGACCAAAUGUGUAAGUAACUGUGCACGUCUUGACGGUACCUAAUCAGAAAGCCACGGCUAACUACGUG
rnacentral:rRNA from 1 species